rnacentral:rRNA from 1 species
GAUGAACGCUGGCGGCGUGCCUAAUACAUGCAAGUCGAGCGAACGGACGAGAAGCUUGCUUCUCUGACGUUAGCGGCGGACGGGUGAGUAACACGUGGAUAACCUACCUAUAAGACUGGGAUAACUUCGGGAAGCCGGAGCUAAUACCGGAUAAUAUAUUGAACCGCAUGGUUCAAAAGUGAAAGACGGUUUUGCUGUCACUUAUAGAUGGAUCCGCGCUGCAUUAGCUAGUUGGUAAGGUAACGGCUUACCAAGGCAACGAUGCGUAGCCGACCUGAGAGGGUGAUCGGCCACACUGGAACUGAGACACGGUCCAGACUCCUACGGGAGGCAGCAGUAGGGAAUCUUCCGCAAUGGGCGAAAGCCUGACGGAGCAACGCCGCGUGAGUGAUGAAGGUCUUCGGAUCGUAAAACUCUGUUAUUAGGGAAGAACAUAUGUGUAAGUAACUGUGCACGUCUUGACGGUACCUAAUCAGAAAGCCACGGCUAACUACGUG